rnacentral:lncRNA from 1 species
GGUCAGGAUUUAAGAGGAUAUUUAGGCAGAAUAGCAAUGUCUCAAAAUCAAAUUUCAUGAUGCUUUUUUUCCCUCUCUUGGCAUCUGUGUAGGAAGCCAACCACACUUUGUACUUUGUUCUAACCUUUAUUCAAGAUGAAGGCUGGGUGAGUAACAAGGGCCCUUGGAGACUUGCACCAUAUUCAACUUGCACACAUUUCAACUAAGUACUAAGAAGUAACAAAUAAUCAUGAAGAUAUUUCUUGAGUUCAGGAAUGUUUAG